rnacentral:rRNA from 1 species
AGAGUUUGAUCCUGGCUCAGGACGAACGCUGGCGGCGUGCUUAACACAUGCAAGUCGAACGGAAAGGCCCUUCGGGGUGCUCGAGUGGCGAACGGGUGAGUAACACGUGGGUGAUCUGCCCUGCACUUUGGGAUAAGCCUGGGAAACUGGGUCUAAUACCGAAUAUGACCAUGCGCCUCCUGGUGUGUGGUGGAAAGCUUUUGCGGUGUGGGAUGGGCCCGCGGCCUAUCAGCUUGUUGGUGGGGUAAUGGCCUACCAAGGCGACGACGGGUAGCCGGCCUGAGAGGGUGACCGGCCACACUGGGACUGAGAUACGGCCCAGACUCCUACGGGAGGCAGCAGUGGGGAAUAUUGCACAAUGGGCGCAAGCCUGAUGCAGCGACGCCGCGUGAGGGAUGACGGCCUUCGGGUUGUAAACCUCUUUCAGCACAGACGAAGCGCAAGUGACGGUAUGUGCAGAAGAAGGACCGGCCAACUACGUGCCAGCAGCCGCGGUAAUACGUAGGGUCCGAGCGUUGUCCGGAAUUACUGGGCGUAAAGAGCUCGUAGGUGGUUUGUCGCGUUGUUCGUGAAAACUCACAGCUUAACUGUGGGCGUGCGGGCGAUACGGGCAGACUUGAGUACUGCAGGGGAGACUGGAAUUCCUGGUGUAGCGGUGGAAUGCGCAGAUAUCAGGAGGAACACCGGUGGCGAAGGCGGGUCUCUGGGCAGUAACUGACGCUGAGGAGCGAAAGCGUGGGGAGCGAACAGGAUUAGAUACCCUGGUAGUCC